GUAGUUGUUCUACAGAAGACCUGGAUGUGGAGGAGCUAAGACACACUCCAGGGGAGCUGUGGAAGCGGUAACACG
ensembl:miRNA MIR920 microRNA 920